rnacentral:lncRNA from 1 species
CUUCCUCCUUCUUCUCUUUGCUUCUUCAAAAUCUCCGAGAAUUACUUUCCUUUUCUGGCUUUGGCUGUCUGCUUCUCAUGGUAGGGGUCAGACGGAUUGCUUUCUUCGGUUUGAUUCAUACCAGGUGGGUUGCUUCAGGUUCCCAUGCCCCAAGUUAGACUGGAGAGAUACUGCGGCCGAAGCUCCAUGCCGGUAAACAUGACAUUGCAAUCUGAGCUUGGUAAUGCCCAUUCCAACCACAUUCUUUCCGUUUCCGCUCCACUGGACCUUCCUCCUCGACAACUUAGUUUUCCCCUGGACAGACC